rnacentral:ribozyme from 1 species
AAAAGCAACUGCCAGCAAGAAGAGGACACCAGACAGGACACAAGCAAAGAGACGAUGGCCCGCACCAAGCAAACCGC